CGUAUACACCGGAAAAUAUGGUAGUAAAAAAUUGGAACGAUACAGAGAUUAGCAUGGCCCCUGCAUGCAGAUGACACUCAAAUUCAUGAAGCGCUCCAUGUUUUA